GUUAUAUGGUCAAGUGAAGAAGCGCAUACGGUGGAUGCCUUGGCAGUCAGAGGCGAUGAAAGACGUGGUAGCCUGCGAAAAGCUUCGGGGAGUCGGCAAACAGACUUUGAUCCGGAGAUCUCUGAAUGGGGGAACCCACCUAGGAUAACCUAGGUAUCUUGUACUGAAUCCAUAGGUGCAAGAGGCGAACCAGGGGAACUGAAACAUCUAAGUACCCUGAGGAAAAGAAAUCAACCGAGAUUCCCUUAGUAGUGGCGAGCGAACGGGGAUUAGCCCUUAAGCUUCAUUGAUUUUAGCGGAACGCUCUGGAAAGUGCGGCCAUAGUGGGUGAUAGCCCCGUACGCGAAAGGAUCUUUGAAGUGAAAUCGAGUAGGACGGAGCACGAGAAACUUUGUCUGAACAUGGGGGGACCAUCCUCCAAGGCUAAAUACUACUGACUGACCGAUAGUGAACCAGUACCGUGAGGGAAAGGCGAAAAGAACCCCGGAGAGGGGAGUGAAAUAGAACCUGAAACCGUAUGCGUACAAGCAGUGGGAGCCUACUUGUUAGGUGACUGCGUACCUUUUGUAUAAUGGGUCAGCGACUUAUAUUCAGUGGCAAGCUUAACCGUAUAGGGUAGGCGUAGCGAAAGCGAGUCUUAAUAGGGCGUUUAGUCGCUGGGUAUAGACCCGAAACCGGGCGAUCUAUCCAUGAGCAGGUUGAAGGUUAGGUAACACUGACUGGAGGACCGAACCCACUCCCGUUGAAAAGGUAGGGGAUGACUUGUGGAUCGGAGUGAAAGGCUAAUCAAGCUCGGAGAUAGCUGGUUCUCCUCGAAAGCUAUUUAGGUAGCGCCUCAUGUAUCACUCUGGGGGGUAGAGCACUGUUUCGGCUAGGGGGUCAUCCCGACUUACCAAACCGAUGCAAACUCCGAAUACCCAGAAGUGCCGAGCAUGGGAGACACACGGCGGGUGCUAACGUCCGUCGUGAAAAGGGAAACAACCCAGACCGCCAGCUAAGGUCCCAAAGUUGUGGUUAAGUGGUAAACGAUGUGGGAAGGCUUAGACAGCUAGGAGGUUGGCUUAGAAGCAGCCACCCUUUAAAGAAAGCGUAAUAGCUCACUAGUCGAGUCGGCCUGCGCGGAAGAUGUAACGGGGCUCAAACCACACACCGAAGCUGCGGGUGUCACGCAAGUGACGCGGUAGAGGAGCGUUCUGUAAGCCUGUGAAGGUGAGUUGAGAAGCUUGCUGGAGGUAUCAGAAGUGCGAAUGCUGACAUGAGUAACGACAAUGGGUGUGAAAAACACCCACGCCGAAAG
rnacentral:rRNA from 1 species